rnacentral:rRNA from 1 species
GAUAAACGUUAGCGGUGCGCUUUAUGCAUGCAAGUCGUACGGUGUUAUAACCUUCGGGUUGUAAUAUAGUGGCGGACGGUUGAGUAACGCGUAGGUAAUCUGCCUUUAAGUGGAGGAUAACUUAUUGAAAGAUAGGCUAAUUCUGCAUGUGAUAAAUCGAACGAUGUUUGGUUUAUUAAAGCCUAGUGUGCUUAGAGAUGAGCCUGCGCCCGAUUAGCUAGUUGGUAGCGUAAUGGACUACCAAGGCGAUGAUCGGUAGCUGGUCUGAGAGGAUGAUCAGCCAGAUGAGGAUUGAGAUACGGCCCCAACUCCUAUGGGAGGCAGCAGCAAGGGAUAUUGGGCAAUGGGCGAAAGCCUGACCCAGCGACACCGCGUGAGGGAAGAAGGCCUUCGGGUUGUAAACCUCUUUUCUCGGGGAAGAAUUCAUGACGGUACUCGAGGAAUAAGCCUCGGCUAAUUACGUGCCAGCAGCCGCGGUAAGACGUGAGAGGCGAACGUUAUCCGGAUUUACUGGGCGUAAAGGGAGCGCAGGUGGCUUUUUAAGUCAAGUAUGAAAUCUUCUGGCUUAACUGGGAGGGGAUAUUUGAUACUGGAGAGCUUGAGGGCAGCAGAGGGAAAUGGAAUUCCCAGUGUAGCGGUGAAAUGCGUAGAUAUUGGGAAGAACACCAGUGGCGAAGGCGAUUUCCUAGGUUGUUCCUGACACUGAGGCUCGAAAGCGUGGGGAGCGAAGCGGAUUAGCUACCCGCGUAGUCCACGCUGUAAACGGUGGACACUAGGCAUGGGGAGUAUCGACCCUUUCUGUGCCGAAGUUAACACUUUAAGUGUCCCGCCUGGGGAGUACGACCGCAAGGUUAAAACUCAAAGGAAUUGACGG